rnacentral:rRNA from 1 species
UACGUAGGUGGCAAGCGUUGUCCGGAUUUACUGGGCGUAAAGAGCGCGCAGGCGGUCGUGCACGUCGCGUGUGAAAGCCCCCGGCUCAACUGGGGAGGGUCACGCGAUACUGAUCGACUCGAAGGCAGGAGAGGGUAGUGGAAUUCCCGGUGUAGUGGUGAAAUGCGUAGAUAUCGGGAGGAACACCAGUGGCGAAGGCGACUACCUGGCCUGUUCUUGACGCUGAGGCGCGAAAGCUAGGGGAGCAAACGGG